UGCCCACUGAUAAUUUAUUGAAGGGCUGCAGUAUUUUGACUGUACAAAGGUAGCAUAAUCAUUAGUCAUUUAAUUGAUGACUUGUAUGAAAGAUUGGAUGAAAUAUAAACUGUCUUUUAUUUAAAUUAUAUAAUUUAAUUUUUUAAUUAAAAAGUUAAAAUGUUUUAAAAAGACGAGAAGACCCUAUAGAGUUUUAUUUUUAAUUUUAUUAAAAUUUUAUAUAAAUUUAAUAAUUAAAAUAAAUUUAAAAAUUUUGUUGGGGUGAUAGAAAAAUUAAAUUAACUUUUUUUUUUAUUUAACAAAAAUAAUUGAAUUAAUGAUCCAAUUUUAUUGAUUAAAAGAAUAAAUUACCUUAGGGAUAACAGCGUAAUUUUUUUUUUUAGUUCAAAUAAAAAUAAGAGUUUGCGACCUCGAUGUUGGAUUAAGAUAAAAUUUAGAUGUAGAAGUUUAAAAUUUUGA
rnacentral:rRNA from 1 species